ensembl:lncRNA
CUCCAUCCUCACCCGGUCCAGGAGGGGACCGCCCAGCAGGUCCCUGCCUUUGUCCCCUAUCAGCUCCUGCAGCAGGGCCUCCACCUGGCGGAUGGUGGCCUCCUCUCCGCGGGUCCUCCGCCUGCAGUACAGCGCCAACUGGGCCUUGGUCAAUCAGCUGUCCACCAGAGCCUCGGAGAUGCCGGGCACACCCUCCCUCCGGAGCUCCUCCCUCUUGGCGUGGUGCAGAAGGGCCACAUCUUCAGGGUCCCACUCGAACAGGCAGACGGAGAGCAUGGCCAUGAAGACGGGGUACAGGGCGUGGGCGUCGGUCGUGCAUCCGGCCGCAAGCCGCCGAAGGAAGUGCCAGGCGUCCAGCCGGAUGACGAGGUCUGGCCAGCCGCUGAACCUGGCCUUCAGCUCGCUCUCCCCUCCCGCCUCCUUGCAGCAGCCACAGAGGAGGUGGAAGAGAGGACCAGGAACCACUGGUGGAGGGCUGAGCAGGUGGUGGUGGUGGCGGCGGAAGAGAGGACCACCAGGAACCACUGGAGGAGAAUUGGGCAGGUGGUGCAGUGGCGAUGAAGGCAGACAUGACCUCCAGACUCGUCACUGUGGGGUCAAUGACGUCCUCCUGGAAGCCAUCAUCCUCUGCCUCGUCGCCCAGGGCCAAGUCCUCCAGCAGCUGCUCUGUGCCCUCAGACUCAGGAUCCAUGUCCUGCAUGCUGUUCCCCGUCUGCCUGUAGAGGUAGUCGACACCUAUCAACUCUCCUGGGAAUGAAAACAAUAAUGGAAUUAGUAUAACAAGUAUAUCGACAAUGUGUGGAACCCAUAUCUUGGGUCUGAUUAUAGAUAGAAAAUGUGCACCCCACAUUCAUGUCAUUAUUUUAUCAUAGUACUUUCUUGUUAUGACUUAUAUGAAAUAUGUUAACAUAUUUAUUAUUUGAUGACAUGAUCACCUGCAACAGAAUAUAUAUUAUAUAUACUGCAAUAUUAGAAUUUGCAAACAUGCAAAUACGUGAUCUAAUCUGUCUUGCCGAAUUAAAGACAUUUUAUUUCCAACGUACACAUGCCUUGUGGUCAUUUCAUGUCCAAGUGUGAAACACAAGAACACAAAAUAAAACAACAUAUGUUGAGUAUUGCAAGUAA